GUGGAUGGAGAGUGUAUAUUUUAGAGAGUAAUCUAGCCGUUGGGAUUUGGAGACUGGGAAAUGGAUAGUCUGUUGCAAUAAAUAACUUAAUACGGAGAGGGAUAUUUUUGCUAACUCAAAUAGAAAGUCAAAAAUGGGUAGUCUGUUUGGAGAUGCUAUCAGUAUUCUCCUGCUUAAUAGGACAAAACUGAUUUAGCUCCACAAGAGAGGAGCACAAAUACGAUCAGAAUCUCAACAGUCCCAGCGUUUCUACUUUCUCCCGAAAGUAAAAUCAAACUGGGUACCUCCACAAGAUUAUCCCAACUU
rnacentral:lncRNA from 1 species